rnacentral:rRNA from 1 species
CAUCGGUGACAGGUGGUGCAUGGUUGUCGUCAGCUCGUGUCGUGAGAUGUUGGGUUAAGUCCCGCGACGAGCGCAACCCCUAUUGUUAGUUGCCAUCAUUCAGUUGGGCACUCUGCGAGACUGCCGGUAAUAAACCGGAGGAAGGUGGGGAUGACGUCAAAUCAUCAUGCCCCUUAUGACCUGGGCUACACACGUGCUACAAUGGUUGGUACAACGAGUUGCGAGUCGGUGACGGCGAGCUAAUCUCUUAAAGCCAAUCUCAGUUCGGAUUGUAGGCUGCAACUCGCCUACAUGAAGUCGGAAUCGCUAGUAAUCGCGGAUCAGCACGCCGCGGUGAAUACGUUCCCGGGCCUUGU